AUGAACGCUGGCGGCGUGCCUAAUCCAUGCAAGUCGAGCGAACGGACGAGAAGCUUGCUUCUCUGAUGUUAGCGGCGGACGGGUGAGUAACACGUGGAUAACCUACCUAUAAGACUGGGAUAACUUCGGGAAACCGGAGCUAAUACCGGAUAAUAUUUUGAACCGCAUGGUUCAAAAGUGAAAGACGGUCUUGCUGUCACUUAUAGAUGGAUCCGCGCUGCAUUAGCUAGUUGGUAAGGUAACGGCUUACCAAGGCAACGAUGCAUAGCCGACCUGAGAGGGUGAUCGGCCACACUGGAGCUGAGACGCGGUCCAGACUCCUACGAGAGGCAGCAGUAGGGAAUCUUCCGCAAUGGGCGAAAGCCUGACGGAGCAGCGCCGCGUGAGUGAUGAAGGUCUUCGGAUCGUAAAACUCUGUAUUAGGGAAGAACGUAUGUGUAAGUAACUGUGCACAUCUUGACGGUACCUAAUCAGAAAGCCACGGCUAACUACGUG
rnacentral:rRNA from 1 species